GAGAUGAAGCUUGUGGAGAAGACGACUACUACAGAGCAGGACAAUGGAGAAGAU
rnacentral:sRNA from 1 species